rnacentral:rRNA from 1 species
UACGGGGGGGGCAAGCGUUGUUCGGAAUUACUGGGCGUAAAGGGCUCGUAGGCGGCCAACUAAGUCGGACGUGAAAUCCCCAGGCUCAACCUGGGAACUGCGUCCGAUACUGGAUGGCUUGAAUCCGGGAGAGGGAUGCAGAAUUCCAGGUGUAGCGGUGAAAUGCGUAGAUAUCUGGAGGAAUACCGGUGGCGAAGGCGGCGGCCUGGACCGGCAUUGACGCUGAGGAGCGAAAGCCAGGGGAGCAAACGGG